rnacentral:lncRNA from 1 species
GAAAGCUGCAGUCAAGGUUACCCAGAACCUGACAAGCCAGCAGAAGGGCACAAAUUUCUUACCAGUGAGAUUCCUGGGUGUCUGUCUGUGAAAUCCAGUGAAGCAGAUGGUCCCAAGACCUCCAUUCCAGAGAGGGCCCUGCCCGAGACUCAGAAGGAAGGAAUGCUCCGCAGAAAGGCCAAGAAGAAUCUAACCAGACAGGCCUUGCUGCAUUUCCCCGCUCAGUCUAUUACCAUUAUAUUACACAUUUUUUGUCCAAUCAUAUUUCUACAUGGCUGUCCAUACAUUGUUAAACCUAGCAUAAAAAUGGACAACUUUCCCUGCAUCUUUAGGUCUUCAUUAGAAGGCUGCUGUGUCACAUAAAACUAUGACCCAAUAAAUUUAUAUGCCUUUUCUUCUAUUAA